GAUGAACGCUGGCGGCGUGCCUAAUACAUGCAAGUCGAGCGAACAGAUGAGGAGCUUGCUCCUCUGACGUUAGCGGCAGACGGGUGAGUAACAUGUGGAUAACCUACCUAUAAGACUGGGAUAACUUCGGGAAACCGGAGCUAAUACCGGAUAAUAUAUUGAACCGCAUGGUUCAAUAGUGAAAGACGGUUUUGCUGUCACUUAUAGAUGGAUCCGCGCCGCAUUAGCUAGUUGGUAAGGUAACGGCUUACCAAGGCAACGAUGCGUAGCCGACCUGAGAGGGUGAUCGGCCACACUGGAACUGAGACACGGUCCAGACUCCUACGGGAGGCAGCAGUAGGGAAUCUUCCGCAAUGGGCGAAAGCCUGACGGAGCAACGCCGCGUGAGUGAUGAAGGUCUUCGGAUCGUAAAACUCUGUUAUUAGGGAAGAACAAAUGUGUAAGUAACUAUGCACGUCUUGACGGUACCUAAUCAGAAAGCCACGGCUAACUACGUG
rnacentral:rRNA from 1 species